rnacentral:tRNA from 1 species
GGACCUGUAGCUUAGUUGGUUGGAGCACCCGGCUCAUAACCGGGCGGUCGUGGGUUCAAGUCCCUCCGGGUCCAC